rnacentral:tRNA from 1 species
GCCUUUGUGAUGAAAUGGUAGACAUAUCGACUUCAAAAGUCGACGCUUUUACGCGUACCGGUUCGAGUCCGGUCAAGGGCA